AGACCUCAAAGGAAGCACGGGCUAAGUACGUGCCAGCAGCCGCGGUAACACGUACUGUGCGAACGUUAUUCGGAAUCACUGGGCUUAAAGGGUGCGUAGGCGGCGAUUCAAGUCAGAUGUGAAAUGCCUGAGCUCAACUGAGGCAUUGCGUUUGAAACUGAACCGCUAGAGUAUUUCAGGGGUGUGCGGAACUGCCAGUGGAACGGUGAAAAUGUGUUGAUAUUGGCAGGAACACCGGAGGCGAAAGCGGCACACUGGGGAAUAACUGACGCUGAGGCACGAAAGCCAAGGGAGCGAACGGGAUUAGAUACCCCGGUAGUCUUGGCCGUAAACGAUGAGUACUGGGCGGGAGGGGGGUUUCCCCCUUUCUGCCGUAGCGAAAGCGUUAAGUACUCCGCCUGGGGAG
rnacentral:rRNA from 1 species